rnacentral:rRNA from 1 species
UGCGGUUAAACAAAAGUUAAAUUAAAUUUUUUUAGGAUUAAUAAAUGUAAAUGAAUUGAGAGAAUAAUUUAAAUUUUAAAUUUUAAGGUGAAAUUUUAAUUUAAUUAAAAUUUAUUUGUUUAUAUGACAUUAAUAAAUUUUGAAAAAAACUAGGAUUAGAUACCCUAUUAUAAAAAUUUAAAUUUAACAAUCUUAAAAUAGUAUGUAAUUUUUUAUAAAAACUUAAAUAAUUUGGCGGUAUUUUAGUUCAUUUAGAGGAAUCUGUCUAAUAAUUGAUAAUCCACGAUUAAAUUUACUUAAUUUUACUUUUGUAUAUCGUUGUUAAAAAAAUAUUUUUAAAUGAUUAUAAUAUUUUAAAAUUUAAAAUAAAAAUUAAAUCAGAUCAAGAUGCAGAUUAUAAUUAAGAAUAUGAUGGAUUACAAUAAAUUUUAUUUUAUUGGAUAUUAAUUUGGAAUAAGUUAAUUGAAAUUGGAUUUAAAUGUAAUUUUAUUAAUUUUGUUAAAAUGAUUAAAAAUUAAAAUAUGUACAUAUUGCCCGUCGCUUUCAUUUAUAAAUUGAAAUAAGUCGUAACAAAGUAGAGGUACUGGAAAGUGUUUCUAGAAAGAU